rnacentral:rRNA from 1 species
UACGUAGGUGGCAAGCGUUGUCCGGAUUUAUUGGGCGUAAAGCGAGUGCAGGCGGCUCGAUAAGUCUGAUGUGAAAGCCUUCGGCUCAACCGGAGAAUUGCAUCAGAAACUGUCGAGCUUGAGUGCAGAAGAGGAGAGUGGAACUCCAUGUGUAGCGGUGAAAUGCGUAGAUAUAUGGANAGAACACCGGUGGCGAAGGCGUAAUCUCUGGUCUGUUACUGACGCUGAGGCUCGAAAG